rfam:Asian citrus Psyllid, Diaphorina citri - Florida Strain, whole genome shotgun sequence.
GCCUAGGUGGCUUGGAAGCGCGCCCGCGGUAAGCGGUAGACUGCGGGUUUGAUUCCCGCCCUUGGCG